rnacentral:rRNA from 1 species
ACGGGUGAGUAACGCGUGGGAACAUACCUUUUGGUUCGGAACAACACAGGGAAACUUGUGCUAAUACCGGAUAAGCCCUUACGGGGAAAGAUUUAUCGCCGAAAGAUUGGCCCGCGUCUGAUUAGCUAGUUGGUGAGGUAACGGCUCACCAAGGCGACGAUCAGUAGCUGGUCUGAGAGGAUGAUCAGCCACAUUGGGACUGAGACACGGCCCAAACUCCUACGGGAGGCAGCAGUGGGGAAUAUUGGACAAUGGGCGCAAGCCUGAUCCAGCCAUGCCGCGUGAGUGAUGAAGGCCCUAGGGUUGUAAAGCUCUUUUGUGCGGGAAGAUAAUGACGGUACCGCAAGAAUAAGCCCCGGCUAACUUCGUGCCAGCAGCCGCGGUAAUACGAAGGGGGCUAGCGUUGCUCGGAGUCACUGGGCGUAAAGGGUGCGUAGGCGGGUCUUUAAGUCAGGGGUGAAAUCCUGGAGCUCAACUCCAGAACUGCCUUUGAUACUGAAGAUCUUGAGUUCGGGAGAGGUGAGUGGAACUGCGAGUGUAGAGGUGAAAUUCGUAGA